GAGGUCUACUCUCUUACCAUACUGAUAGACGCUACGUAUAGAAGCAGGAUCGUUGUUUUUGUAAUAAAAAUAUUACUUUCUGAUUUCUUGGAAUAUUAUUAUACAUAUACAAACAUGAUGAAGUUCCUAGUCCUUAAUUUAAUGGCAAUUUCUAUCGGUUUAUUACACUAUACAAGCAAUGGAUUUGGAGGCAAAAUGUGAUAUUGGCCAAAGAACCAGGUGGACUGAUGUAGAAGAAGCUCUUUUAAAUAUUCAAGAACUUGCAUAUGAUGUGAUAACUAUGUAGAGAAUCGAGCAAAGAGCAUCGGAAAAUGGAAUGAUGAGACCUACGAUAUGCUUGUUAAAGCUCAUUGUUUGAACAACGAGGAAUUCAAAAAGGAGAAGCUACAUGUCUUUAAAGCAGCGCUACCAUGCAUGAGUGAUUAUAAACUGUCGAAACUUCCCAAAAACUCUGUUAUUACAUCUUGUAGGACUAUUAAGUACAUUACCCAAAAUCGAAAUGCAUAAGUUGUUAAAAAGAGCGGGUGAAAGGAACCAAAGGAUAAAAUAUAUGACGACUUCUAAUAUUUCUACAAGCAUAUUAUAACCUAUUAUCAUAAAUAAAAUAUUCAUUAUUAGAUAAAAAGUUCUUACUAUCAGCA